GAACCGUCCAAACGUUUAUUCGGAAUCACUGGGCUUAAAGGGUGCGUAGGCGGCUUGGCAAGUUGGGUGUGAAAUCCCUCGGCUCAACCGAGGAACUGCGCUCAAAACUGCCAGGCUCGAGGGAGAUAGAGGUGAGCGGAACUAAUGGUGGAGCGGUGAAAUGCGUUGAUAUCAUUAGGAACACCGGUGGCGAAAGCGGCUCACUGGAUCUCUUCUGACGCUGAGGCACGAAAGCUAGGGUAGCGAACGGGGGAUUAGAUACCCCGGUAGUCCUAGCUGUAAACGAUGAGCACUAGGUUGGAGGCUCCUCCAUAGGCUUCCGGCCGAAGCGAAAGUGUUAAGUGCUCCGCCUGGGGAGUAUGGUCGCAAGGCUG
rnacentral:rRNA from 1 species